ACAUCCUAUGUGCAUUAAUAAAACGUUGCAUUUAGUUGAAGACAAAAAUCGUGCUGAUGAACCCUCUCCUCCAUUGAAAUGGUGCGUUUUGAACAUUCCUAAUUCCCUAAUUCCAUCUCUCUGCUCGAGACUCCCCUGCCCUCCCUUUGGUCGAGUCCCCUUCCCAUUACAGAACCCUAACCCCAAGCUCCAUGCGACCCUUUCUCUCUGUGUUUGAGGAUUUUGCUUUCACUUCGAUUUGGUCCCAGGUGAUAACUGGUUGGGACGAGACGGUAACGCUCUAUUGCCGACUCCAUGGCCUCUCUGUUGGUGAAAGCUAGAGGAUGCCUGGUCACGUAUGCACCGUGCACGAAGCUGGGCAUCACUCGUUACGAAGUCACUUGCACGGUCGUUACUCGUGGUGUGACAAAGGGAGUUAGGGUGUGCGGAUUGCCCCUAGGGGUGACCAUGGUGCAUACAAUGAUAAAAUGGAUGGAAAUGUGGAUUUUUGGCGUGCGUGGCAUUUUCUAUAAUUAUUGAGAUAGAAAUUGGUAUUGUUAAAUUUUUGAUAAGUUCUGCUUCGCAUAACUAUUGACUUGGAUGCAAAGGACGGUCAUGAGCUUGAAAGACUGGCCCCACCUGGGUGAAGACCUGGGAACUUCUUCCUUAUGUUGUUGUUGUGAUGUUGCUUUCUAUUAUCUAGUCGGAUGACUGUAUUAAUUUAUGGAUUAUUUUGUUGGAGUUUGUAAAUUGAAUUUUUGAUAC